rfam:Myotis lucifugus cont2.25226, whole genome shotgun sequence.
UGAGCUCACUGGUUAGAGCGUUGGUCUGCGAACCAGAGGGUCUUGGGUUCAAUUCCCAGUCAA